rnacentral:rRNA from 1 species
GACGAACGCUGGCGGCGUGCUUAACACAUGCAAGUCGAACGGUAAGGCCCUUCGGGGUACACGAGUGGCGAACGGGUGAGUAACACGUGGGUGAUCUGCCCUGCACUUCGGGAUAAGCCUGGGAAACUGGGUCUAAUACCGGAUAGGACUCCGGACUGCAUGGUCUGGGGUGGAAAGCUUUUGCGGGGUGGGAUGGGCCCGCGGCCUAUCAGCUGGUUGGUGGGGUGAUGGCCUACCAAGGCGACGACGGGUAGCCGGCCUGAGAGGGUGACCGGCCACACUGGGACUGAGAUACGGCCCAGACUCCUACGGGAGGCAGCAGUGGGGAAUAUUGCACAAUGGGCGCAAGCCUGAUGCAGCGACGCCGCGUGAGGGAUGACGGCCUUCGGGUUGUAAACCUCUUUCAGCAUUGACGAAGCGAAAGUGACGGUAGGUGCAGAAGAAGGACCGGCCAACUACGUGCCAGCAGCCGCGGUAA